UACGAAGGGGGCUAGCGUUGCUCGGAAUCACUGGGCGUAAAGCGCACGUAGGCGGAUUGUUAAGUCAGGGGUGAAAUCCUGGAGCUCAACUCCAGAACUGCCUUUGAUACUGGCGAUCUUGAGUCCGGGAGAGGUGAGUGGAACUGCGAGUGUAGAGGUGAAAUUCGUAGAUAUUCGCAAGAACACCAGUGGCGAAGGCGGCUCACUGGCCCGGUACUGACGCUGAGGUGCGAAAGCGUGGGGAGCAAACAGGGAUUAAGAAACC
rnacentral:rRNA from 1 species